rnacentral:lncRNA from 9 species
CUGACUCUUGCAGGAGGUGGGCUACUGCCAUGGCAUGAACCAGAUUGUCGCCAUCCUGCUCAUGUUUCUUAAUGAGGAGGAUGCUUUCUGGGCACUGGCCCAACUGAUGGAAAACAAAAGACAUGCCAUGCAUGGCUUCUUCACUCCGGGGUUCCCGAAACUGCAGAGACUGCAGGCCCAUCAUGAUAAGAUUCUGGAAAGGACGCUCCCCAAGCUGAAGCAGCACCUGGACAAGGAAUACAUGUCCACAGCAAUUUAUACUACGCCAUGGUUUCAGCGCUGCUUUAUUGACCAUACACCAUUCUCACUCACACUGAGACUACUGGACGCAUACAUCCUGGAGGGUGAGCGAAUGCUCACAGCCAUGGCCUAUACAAUCGUCAAGAUUCACCAAAAACGCCUCCUGAAGCUGCCCCUGGAGGGAUUGCAUGAGUUUUUCCAGUACUCGAUCUCCAAGCCAUGGACCCUGGAUGAUGACACAGUGAUCAAAAGGUUACAAGCCACAAUGACUGAGCUGCAAAAGAAGAAAUAUGGCCUACUCCCUCCAGAACCUGAGGAGUUCCCCACGAGGCCCCUGGGUCUGGAGCGACCAUCCCUGGAACCCAGGCCUUGCCCUAUCACUACAAGCACCAAGGAACUCCCUGGAGAGGACGGGCCAGCUCUCCAUGGCCCACCUGCCCAGCACCAGCAGCAAAGACCCUCACCCAGCCAGGCCUGCUUACAGGCUGAAGAGCACCAUCAAGAGGGGGCCGUGGCAUCAGGAUGCCCCCUGAGGGCCCAAGAGUCUCUGAGUCUGUCCUGCCUAUUCCCAUCCCUCUGCAUACCUCAGGACCGAAUGUGGCCCUGGAGAUGGACCUCCCUUCCCAACAUCCCCAAGAACUAUGAGUGUCCAGUGAAGUGGCAGGUUGACAUCGGGUUUGAGCCCGAGUGUUGGGACCUUUGCCCCUCAGCACGGGCCAAGGUCGCCCUCAGGGCAACACUGCAGGCCUAG